rnacentral:rRNA from 1 species
AGAGUUUGAUCCUGGCUCAGGGACGAACGCUGGCGGCGUGCCUAAUACAUGCAAGUCGAGCGGAUCGAUGGGAGCUUGCUCCCUGAGAUCAGCGGCGGACGGGUGAGUAACACGUGGGUAACCUGCCUGUAAGACUGGGAUAACUCCGGGAAACCGGGGCUAAUACCGGAUAACACCUACCCCCGCAUGGGGGAAGGUUGAAAGGUGGCUUCGGCUAUCACUUACAGAUGGACCCGCGGCGCAUUAGCUAGUUGGUGAGGUAAUGGCUCACCAAGGCGACGAUGCGUAGCCGACCUGAGAGGGUGAUCGGCCACACUGGGACUGAGACACGGCCCAGACUCCUACGGGAGGCAGCAGUAGGGAAUCUUCCGCAAUGGACGAAAGUCUGACGGAGCAACGCCGCGUGAGUGAAGAAGGUUUUCGGAUCGUAAAACUCUGUUGUUAGGGAAGAACAAGUGCCGUUCGAAUAGGGCGGCGCCUUGACGGUACC